UACAGAGACUGCAAGCGUUAUUCGGAUUUACUGGGCGUAAAGGGCGCGCAGGCGGCACAUUUUGUCAGGCGUGAAAGCCCCGGGCUUAACCUGGGAACUGCGUUUGAUACGGAUGGGCUAGAGUUCGGGAGAGGAGAGUGGAAUUCCCAGUGUAGAGGUGAAAUUCGUAGAUAUUGGGAAGAACACCGGUGGCGAAGGCGGCUCUCUGGACCGAGACUGACGCUGAGGCGCGAAAGCGUGGGGAGCAAACAGG
rnacentral:rRNA from 1 species